rnacentral:rRNA from 1 species
UACGUAGGGUGCGAGCGUUAAUCGGAAUUACUGGGCGUAAAGCGUGCGCAGGCGGUUCGUUGUGUCGGUGGUGAAAGCCCCGGGCUUAACCUGGGAAUGGCCAUGGAAACUGGCGAACUGGAGUGUGGCAGAGGGGGGUGGAAUUCCGCGUGUAGCAGUGAAAUGCGUAGAGAUGUGGAGGAAUACCGAUGGCGAAGGCAGCCUCCUGGGCCAACACUGACGCUCAUGCACGAAAGCGUGGGGAGCAAACAGG